rnacentral:lncRNA from 1 species
ACAAGUGGAACUUUGUCUAAAACAGGAUGCUGUCAGAUCAGGUAAACUCCUCAAAGUAUGAAAUCAGAGAUCAAAGCUAGAUAAAUCCACUAAGAUGAGGAAAAAACACUGAAUAUCAUCAUCUUGAGGAUAAAUCCACUAAGGUGAGUGCAAAAAUUCUGAAAAUUCCCAAAACCAGAAUGCCUCUUCUCCUCCAAAUGAUGGCAACUCCUCUCCA